rnacentral:lncRNA from 1 species
AUGCGGGGUCGACUACAGUUGGCGUGUGAGGUUGCCUCCAAGAAUUUAGCUGGGGCUAAAGCUCGCAUGAAGGCCAGGUAUGACCGCAAGGCGGUGUGCCGCGUUUUUGAUCCAGGUGAUUUGGUCUUAGUUUUAGGAGCAGGACCACGGGGACCGUUAGGUCCUAUGUUUGCUGGUCCUUACAGGGUCUUGAGGAAGGUCGGGGACCUCAACUACGUUGUUAGUACCCCAGAGAGGCGGUCUAAGACCCGACUGUGUCACAUUAAUGCCAUGACAUCUUAUAAGGGAGAGGUAACUGAGGCAGUAGUGACUUGUGUUCAGAGAGACCUCCCAGAAAGUACAGAGGAGCUUAGUGAUGUGGACUCGUCCCCUGACGUGGUUAAUGCUAGGUUGUAUAAUACCAAGGCUCGUGCUGAGUUGGAAGGGAAGUUGGGGUACCUUACUGAUUCCCAGAGGGGGGAUGUAGUGCGUCUGAUUUACCUUUUCCCUUCGCUUUUCAGAGAUACUCCCGGUAGCACACAUAAGGCGGUACAUGAUGUGGAUACAGGGUAUGCUGACCCUGUGAAACAGCAUCCAUACAGGCUCCCUCCAUGUAAGAAGUUGGUGGUACAGGAGGAGGUAGACUAUAUGAUGCGCAUCGGGGUAAUUGAGCCCUCAGACAGUCCCUGGAGUUCCCCAGUUGUCUUAGUUGCUCAAGAGGGCAGAGCAGAUAGGUUCUGUGUUGACUUCAGACGGGUUAACGUGGUCACAAAAGGGGAUGCGUUCCCUCUUCCUCGGUUAGAGGAUUGCAUUGAUCAGGUGGGGCAGAAGAAGUUUGUGACCAAGAUCGACCUCCUGAAAGGUUACUUUCAGGUACCAUUAACAGAAAGGGCAAAGGAAGUGUCAGCUUUUGUAACCCCAGAUGGGCUGUAUCAGUUCAGGGUGAUGCCUUUUGGCAUGAAGAAUGCUCCAGCCACCUUCCAAAGGUUGAUGAACUCCCUCACCCAAGGGCUAGGAAACACUGUCUAA